rnacentral:lncRNA from 1 species
CACAGUUUUGAAACGAGACUUACAAACCAUUUUCAUAGAAAAUAUCGGAUUUUGUGGAAUCAUACAAAUCAUUUCAAACAAAGAUGUUACAAAUCUUUUCAUACAAAUAUGCUUAUGAACUCACCAACAUUCUAUGUUGACGCUUUUCAAAAUGACUUAUAUUCUCAGGAACACAAUAAGCAGGUACUUGAGCUAUGGAUGUUGGAUAUUUUGCUGCAUUUUAAAAAUUACUUUCCAGUCACUUUUGUGUAAUUGGUGAACAAAUACAAUUUGUAAACAAUGUAAGUUUGUUAUCUAAAUGUAUGCCGUUUGGUUGCUAUGUUUCAUUCAUAUUCAAUUGUUAUGAUACUAUACAAUGACGUCAUCCGUCCCCGCACGUUUCCGCCGUCCUGGUUCAGGGGUGUGACAGAUUGGUAUCAGAGCAUUGUUUAUAGUGAAGUAGUAUAUCUAACCAUACAAGAUGUACAACUAUAAAUACAAUGGGACUAUAACACUCCUAAUAAAAAUUAUACCUUAAAAAUAUAAGUAUUUUAUAAAAUUAUACAUACAUGUGUGCGUAAUAAGGAUAGUGCCAUAAGAAAGAAACUAGUAAAAAGUAUUUAGAGGAGUUGGACGUCGUGACUAAACUUAGACAGUUAUGUAAUCAUAUCAAGGGUAAAUAUAGCUUGAUCAACUAUAUUUAUUCGAGGUAUGACCAACAUGUGUUUAGGAGUUGUCGAGGUGGAUGAUAAAUAUAAAACUUACAGACUUUGAACCAAAAGGGUAUAAGAACAAAACUAAAAGAAAUAAAAUACUAUAGGGAUAUUUUGGCAUUCUAUCUAUUUUCUCAUACUUAUAUACAUUCGUACAGACGUGAUUGCAUAUUUUCACCACCCAUGAGAUCCUUAUCCUCCAACCAGGGGAACGCGGGGUGGAUAGUGGAGGAUCCUGAGGAGGAUCUCGAGGAGAUUCCGGAGGAUGAAUCAGAGGAGGAAGUAGAUGAGGAGAUAGACGAGGAGGAGGAGGAUGAUGAUUCGGACGUAGAGUACGAAGUCAUCAACCCUCCCUACAUGGCUAGGGUACCAGCACACCGAUAGGGCUAUAAUGGCCCUACGCCCCCUUGGGCCUAUGACCUUGAGAGGUGGUGCCGACAUCAGGGGAAACACCCACCUUUCGGGAUGGAGCAAGGAUUUUACGACCUUCGCCAUGGAGGGACCGCGGACCAAGCCCUCCCCGUUAUGGUUCGGAGGAUUUCAGACAUCGGAGACCAGGCCCAGACGAAAUUCCACCGAGUCAUGGAGAUGAGGGUUGCUAUGGAGGUCACGGCCGCACGCACUCGUGAUCUCGAGAGGGACUUUUACCCUAUGGAUCGGCUCGUCGAGGACCUGACUACCGCGCGAGCAGAAGUGAGGGAAUAUAAGGAGAGGCAUGCUGCCCUGGAGGAGAGGGUGCGGGUAGCCGAGCACCGUUUGGCCGAGUUGUAUGGCGCCUCUACAUCAUCCCAGGCACCGCAGGGGACGACUCAACGUGAGUAGGAUCUAUCCUACUCACCAGAUGAUAGACUAGAUGUUUGGGUAUGCUUUAGUGCUACCCUUUUUCUUUUCUUUUAUGUAUGUAGGACCGACCCUACGUCUAAAUGAUUACACUACUCGUAGGGUCGUUAUACUGUCAGAUUUUAUCCUUUAUGUACUGUUGACCUUUUCAUUUUUCUCACAUUAUGUACUAAAAUCUUAUAAUUAAUGAAACAAAUAUGUGUUUUAUUUUUAUAUGUUGUUGUCUGCUAUGUUUUCUAUAUUCAUUUUUAUUUUAUAAAACAAUGUUUCAAUUGUAUGCACAAAAUAACGUUCGAUAAUUACUAUACCUGACAUAUCUAAACGCGAUGUUUCAUUACAAUAGUAUCUGCAUCAUAACCCUUAUCAAAAACUUAUCAGAUUCCACUUGUGGCAGUAUAAUCCCGUGGCAGUAUAAUCCCGCCUCAGAGAAACAUUCGACGCAAGAACAACGAGGCAGCACCACCCCCGCCGCUGCCUCCACCACAAAUGGAUUCGACCGCAUUCCAGGUGGCAGUUUCAUCUGUAGUCACUACGGCUCUGGCACAUAUCAACAACAAUGGUUCCAAUGGAGGUGGAAGUGGGAAUGGAAUGGGCAGUUCUAACCAUGGGGUUAAUCAAGGGCCUCAACAAGUAUGCUCAUAUAAAGACUUCACAAACAGAAAGCCAAGACCAUUCAACGGAAGCAGGGGUGUCAUAGCCCUAACUCGAUGGUUUGAGAAGACAGAAUCAGUCUUCGAGAUUUGCGGAUGUUUAGAAGAAAGCAAGGUGAAAUUCGCAACAUGUACAUUUGCUGAUAGAGCCCUUUCGUGGUGGAAUGUCCACAUCAAGGCUUUAACAAUCGAUGGCUUGGGAGGACCUUAAGACCAUGAUGCUGGAAGAGUAUUUUCCUAGAGGGGAGGUACAGAAACUUGAGCAAGAAUUGUGGAAUCUCACUGUAAAGGACUCCGACAUUGAAUCUUACAUUGUCAGGUUCAGCGAUUUGGAAAUCUUGUGUCCGGGAAUGAUCACCUCUGAAAGUAAGAAGGUUGAACAUUUCCUUUGGGGACUAACUCCCCCAAUUCAAGGGAAUGUGAUCGCUGCAAACCCAACAACAUACGACAGCGCCAAACGCCUCGCGCUAAAGCUAUAUGACCAUGGGGUACAAAAGGGCACGAAGACUUCCGUCAUUGAACCGAAGAAAGGGAAUGCUAACAAGAAUAAUACAGGAAACAAGAGAAAAGGGAAACGCACUCAGGAAUCCUCCAAAAAGCAACAAAUAGUGGCGGUUCACGCCGCUACUACUCCUACUACAUCAGCUCCAAUAAAGCAAUAUGCCAGUAAUUUGCCAAAGUGCGACAAACGCCCCUUCCACCACCACGGAGCCUGCAGAGAGAUGAAAUGCAGAACCUGCAACAAGAAAGGGCACACUACUCGAUACUCUAAGUCACCGGAACAACAGAACAACCAACCCAACAACGUUGGGGCAAGUCAAGCAUGUUAUGGGUGCGGAGAGGCUGGCCACUUCAAAAGAAACCGUCCCAAGGACAACAAUCGGAAUACAGGGGGAACAAGCAGAGUUCUAGCGAUAGGACAUGAGGAGGUUGUAAAGGAUCCAGCAGUAGUCGCUGGUACGUUCCUCCUCAAUAACAUCUAUGCAUGCAUUUUAUUUGAUAGCGGGGCAGAAAGGAGCCUUGUGAGUCAUAGGUUUAAGCACUUUCUCAACCAAAAUCCUCAAUCAUUAAACGAAACAUUUACUGUUGAAAUGGCUAACGGGAAAACAGAAACAACCAACGAUGUACUCAUAGGGUGCAUACUAACUUUAAAUAACCACUCCUUUCUAAUCGACUUAAUGUCGGUUACUAUAAGGAGUUUUGAUGUGAUCAUCGGGAUGGAUUGGUUAUGCCCGCACCAUGCUCAUAUUAUGUGCUACGAGAAGGUCGUUCACCUUCACUUACCCAACAACGAAACUGUAGUUACAUGUGGCAACAAACCCGAUAUAAACCUUCGUCUCAUCUCGUGCAUUAAAGACCAAAAGUGUUUACAUAAAAAGAACCAUGCGUUCUUGGCUCAUGUGGUCGAUAAAAAGAAGGAAGAAAAGAGAAUCAAAGACAUCCCAGAGGUGUGUGAUUUUCCCGACGUGUUUCCCCAAGACCUUCCAAGAAUACCUCCCGAACGACAAGUCGAAUUUAAGAUCGACUUGAUAACCGGAGCCACACAAACUGCCAACUCGCCAUAUAGAUUAGCUCCUACGGAGAUGCAAGAGCUUUCCAAUCAAUUAAGUGAGCUGUUGGACAAACUAUUUAUAAGGCCACACUUCUCACCUUGGGGAGCUCCGGUCUUAUUCGUGAAGAAGAAGAAGGAUGGUUCGUUUCAUAUGUGUAUCGAUUACUGUGAACUCAACAAGCUCACCGUCAAGAAUCAAUACCCUCUUCCCCGAAUUGACGAUCUAUUUGACCAGCUGUAAGGAGCAAGUUACUUUUCGAAGACAGAUUUCAGGUCUAGUUAUCAUCGAUUGCGAGUCCAAGAGGAAGAUAUUCCCAAGAAUGCCUUCCGAACUCGCUUCGGUCAUUUUGAACUUGUGGUAAUGCCCUUUGGUCUAACAAAUGCACCUACAACAUUUAUGGACCUGAUGAACCGAGUCUGCCGACCCUACCUUGACAACUUCAUGAUCAUCUUUAUCGAUGAUAUACUCAUCUAUUCACGAAGUAAAGAAGAACACAACUAACAUCUACGAAAUGUUUUUGAAACGCUAAGGGCGGAGAAGCUAUAUGCGAAAUUCUCCAAAUGCAAGUUCUUGAUCCGCAGAGUGGAUUUUCUAGGCCAUGUGGUCAAUGAGGAGGGAAUACAUGUGGACCCUUCCAAGAUCAAAGCAAUUGAAGGUUAGGCAACCCUAAGAACCCCAACGGAGAUCAGACAAUUCAUAGGCCUCGCCGGUAACUACCAGAGGUUCAUACAGAAUUUCUCUAAAAUCGCCAAGCCGCUCAUCGCUUUAACCCAAAAGGGUGUACUCUUUAUCUGGGAGAAGAAACAAGAAGCUGCGUUCCAAACCUUGAAACAAGCUCUAUGCAGCGCCCCUGUCUUAACACUCCCAGAAGGGACGGAAGAUUUCAUGGUGUAUAGGCUAGCUUCAGAUCUGGGGUUUCUUGGAGAGAACACGGUAGUAUGUGGAGUUGACUUGAAAACAUAAAGAUAAGUGAAAGAAAGAAGGUGAGCAAAAGCUUAUGUGAAAUCUUAUCUGGAGGGUGGCUACCAGAAUAGGUGGAAUUGAUGGAGAACAGUUAAAAGACGUAUUAAAAAUAGAUGAAAUCAAUCAAAUCAAUAAAUUCGCUGAUCAUGGUCUUCAUAGUGAAGGAGGUGUCUGUGGUGACUGUGGUAAUGGGUCACCGGUAAGUGAAGAAAAAAGAAGAAGAGUGUUUCUAGUUAUGGCGAUAGUAGCUAGGGUUACCAGAGAGAAAAAGGUGAGUAUACAAAUUUUGAAAUGAAAAGGAAGCGUGAGGGAAAAGGUAUCCGAGAUGGUCGAUCCGUGUGAGUGUCUUUCUGCGAAGCCAUCUUGGCCAUUGGAAUAAAAAUGGAGGGUCAACAUAUCACCCCCUUGAAUUUUAAGACUUUUGUCUUAAAAUUGGUAGGGACCACCAAGAUAUAUGUUUUAUAAAGUGUUAAUAUAAGUAUAUGUAUGUAUGUAUGUAUGUAUGUAUGUAUGUAUAUAUAUAUAUAUAUAUAUAUAUAUACACACACACACACGUGGUUUAACAACAAACAACGAAUGUGCAUGGGGUUUUUAUUUCUUUCUAAAGAUGUCUACCAUUGAAAAUAAAGAAGUCAGUCAAACACAGGUGUAGGUCAACAAAAUAUUAUAGCUCAAAAAAUAUUAGAAUGAUGUAUAGUAGGAGUGGAGUAUGGAGGUGUCCAGUUCUUGAUUAUAGUGAAUAUAUAGAGCAUAAGCAUCCGAGGAAAAGAGGGGAAGAAGCGAUGAAAAAGGCAUUGAACACAAAUACAUCUAUGACUAAACAUAACUUUAAAGAAGAAAUUGCAGCAAUUAUUUUUCUAUUUUAGCUACUAAAACUAGUACUAACUUCUUAGUAUUUGUAAUAAUAAUUGGAGUAUUCAGGGGUGUGGGUUAGGGAUAAGACUCGUUACGGUACCGGACCAUCGUAAUCGAUCCGAAACUAAAAAAGCUAAAACAAAAAAUGCAAAUUCAAGGAACCGAUAACAAAACCGAUUUUCAUACUUGGUUCUUAUGCGGUUCUGGACUGAACCGACUCGAAACCGAAAAAUAAAAAUUCAAGGAAUCAAGAAUCGAACCAAAUGUGCUUAUGUGUACAAAACAAUUUUCUCUAUGUAACCUUGCAACAUCAAAUUAGUGAAAUUCAAACUACAAUGUUAUUUGAAUACAAAUGAGCGUACAUUGAGAAUAAAGUUGAAAUAGCCUCUUACAAGCCCAAAACUCGAUCCAAUAGCUAAGCCUAAUCAAUUUCGGGACUUGACCCAAGAAUUCUCGGCCCAAACACUGUAGGCCGAAAACCCAUUUCCUUUGGGCCUUAUUGGACCAAAAACUCUCUUAUUCGGCCCAAUUAAGUCCAAAAGCUCAUACACACUCAAAACUGAAAACCCAAUUUAGAACAUAGGGUGUUUUAUAAAGUGUUAAUAUAAGUAUAUGUUUGUAUGUAUGUAUAUAUAUAUAUAUAUAUAUAUAUAUACACACACACACACACGCGUGGUUUAACAACAAAUAAGGAAUGUGCAUGGGGUUUUUAUUUCUUUCUAAAGAUGUCUACCAUUGAAAAUAAAGAAGUCAGUCAAACACAGGUGUAGGUCAACAAAAUAUUAUAGCUCAAAAAAAUAUUAGAAUGAUGUAUAGUAGGAGUUGAGUAUGGUGGUGUUUAAAAAAACCCUAAUAGAAAAAGCUAGAGAGAAAGAGAGAGAAAAAAAAACAACUUACAAGUCCGACAAGAAGAUCAGGAUAUUAGGAGAUGUCGUUGAUUCUCUUCAAACUUGUUUUGGAAUUUGGAUAUGGUGUCCAGUUCUUGAUUAUAGUGAAUAUAUAGAGCAUGAGCAUCCGAGGAAAAAAGGGGAAGAAGCGAUGAAAAAGGCAUUGAACACAAAUACAUCUACGACUAAACAUAACUUUAAAGAAGAAAUUGCAACAAUUAUUUUUGUAUUUUAGCUACUAAAACUAGUACUAAAUUAUUAGUAUUUGUAGUAAUAAUUAGAGUAUUAACUUCUUAGUAUUUGUAGUAAUAAUUGAAGUGAUGAAAAAGGCAUUGAACACAAAUACAUCUACGACUAAACAUAACUUUAAAGAAGAAAUUGCAGCAAUUAUUUUUCUAUUUUAGCUACUAAAACUAGUACUAACUUCUUAGUAUUUGUAAUAAUAAUUGGAGUAUUCAGGGGUGGUGUGGGUUAGGGAUAAGACUCGUUACGGUACCGGACCACCGUAAUCGAUCCGAAACUAAAAAAGCUAAAACAAAAAAUGCAAAUUCAAGGAACCGAUAACAAAACCGAUUUUCAUAUUUGGUUCUUAUGCGGUUCUGGACUGAACCAACUCGAAACCGAAAAAUAAAAAUUCAAGGAAUCAAGAAUCGAACCAAAUGUGCUUAUGUGUACAAAACAAUUUCCUCUAUGUAACCUUGCAACAUCAAAUUAGUGAAAUUCAAACUACAAUGUUAUUUGAAUACAAAUGAGCGUACAUUGAGAAUAAAGUUGAAAUAGCCUCUUACAAGCCCAAAACUCGAUCCAAUAGCUAAGCCUAAUCAAUUUCGGGACUUGACCCAAGAAUUCUCGACCCAAACACUGUAGGCCGAAAACCCAUUUCCUUUGGGCCUUAUUGGACCGAAAACUCUCUUAUUCGGCCCAAUUAAGUCCAAAAGCUCAUACAUACUCAAAACUGAAAACCCAAUUAAGAACAUAGGGUGUUUUCGACCACCCUAAAACCAAAAACCCCCUUGAGAUGCCUCUAAGGCCGAAAGCCUCCUAGGAUUUCUGUUGGGAGUCAAGACAAACAAAAAAAAAAGAAAAAGAAAAAAGAAAAAAAGAGAGAAAGAGAGAGAGAGAGAGAGAGAGAGAGAGAAAAGAUAUGGAUUAAUGUUAACACCUAAUGUCUUUACAUCCUAUUACCCUUCAUGUUCCCACACAGUACAAGCCUCUAUCUUCCAUGCAUCCAUGCAUGGCUUUCAAUUGUCAAACAUACAUCAAGGAAGCCAUCACUCCCCCCAUUUAAGGGAGAGAUCGACCGAUCCCACACACACACACAUCAAACAAAUUUUCACUCAUUUGCUCUCAAAAAAUUCCUCACAUCCCUUCUCUCACAAUUUCGAGCAUCAUCACCACAAAAUCGGUCCUAGUCGUUUUGGUAACUUCCUUAUGAAACUCAAAGUGUUUUUUAUACAUGUUUGUUUUAGGAUUAUUCCAUUUACACACUCAUUUCGUGUGUAUGAAACUUAGAACACUUGAAAUUUUCGAGAAUCUCUCCAAGCUCAAGGCUACGCUCAACAAAUUCUUUCUUCUUCUUGCUAUCAUAUGAAAUCAAGGGGUGCUUCAUACCCCCAGCUUUUCAUGUUAUUCAUACUUUUCCGGGGGGGGGGGGGGGGGGGAUNNNNNNNNUCAAGUCUCGUUUAUCCUUUGGAUAUUUGCAUGCACUAUCAUUUUAUGUAACAGUUUGUGCUUAAGAUGUUGAAUAACUCAAACUAACACACCAUAAACUCGUGAUAUACAAGCUUCAAGUAUGAUAUUUAUCCUUUGGAUAAUUGCAUGCAUUGUUUAUGUGUUGAAAAUGGAACAAAUAUUUUACCUAUUCCGACACCUGAAGAACAUCACAUAGGCUUAACAGUCACAUCAAGCAUGGUUAUAAUAACUCACUUGGGGGUUAACAAUACUAUCUUGAUUUACGAGAAGUUUACAAUAGAAAAUAUAGGAUUUUCUAGGAACAUACAAUUACAAACUAAAGAAAACAAAGGACAUGCAUGCAUAUAUUCAUAGUUUUGAAAUGAGACUUACAAACCAUUUUCAUAGAAAAUAUCGGAUUUUCUGGAAUCAUACAAAUCAUUUCAAACAAAGAUGUUACAAAUCUUUUCAUACAAAUAUGCUUAUGAACUCACCAACAUUCUAUGUUGAUGCUUUUCAAAAUGACUUGUAUUCUCAGGAACAAAGUAAGCUGGUACUUGAGCUAUGGAUGUUAGAUAUUCUGUUGCAUCUUGAAAUUACAUUUCAGUCACUUUUGUGUAAAUUGUGAACAAAUACAAGUUGUAAACAAUGUAAGUUUGUUAUCUCAAUGUAUGUCGUUUGUUUGUUAUAUUUCAUUCAUAUUCAGUUGUUAUGAUACUAUACAAUGACGUAAUCCGCCCCCAGACGUUUCCGCCGUCCUGGUUUGGGGGUGUGACAGGUUUUGAUUCCAGUUUGGUUCUUUGGUCAUGUCGUACAUCCUUAAUGCAGGUAUGGAUUAGAUUGGUGGGUGGGUUGGGAUUAAAUAAGGAUAAGGGUAGGUGUGUAAAUGGGGGUGUGUGUGUGUAUACAGUUGGUGAUGAGUGUAAGUGUAUGCGGUUGGGACAUGGUUUGAGUUGUUGGUGAUGGGUGUUUAGUGUAGGGUAGAUGUGGGAUUGUGUGUAGAGGGAGGGUGGGUGUGCCAAGUGUAUAAAAUUUACAACCCUUACAAGCCUCAUAAAGAGGUGGUCUUUUACAACAUAAAAGCCUUGAAAAUGCAACAUGCAACACUUUUUUUAUUUUUGUAUUAAAAUAACAUUUAAUUUAUUAUUUAAUUAAUAUAUUAACUUUACAUACCUCCAUAUCAUUUUUGGGUUUAAUUUAUUAUCAAACUAGGUGUGAGACCCAUGUAUUACAUGAGUUUAUUUAAAAAAAUUAAAUAUAUAAUUUUAACAAUUUGAAAAGUUUGAAUUUUUAAGAAAAAUGAGAAAUUUUUUGAAUUAUUAAAAUUAAUGAGGCUUUAAUGUAUUGGAUACAUUACAUAUAUAAACCCUUUCUAAUAAAUACCUUACAUAUUAAAUGUGGAAUUUUAAUUUAAUAAAAUGAAAAUACAAUAAAAUGACAAGUGGAAAAUAGAAAUUUUAAAAAUGUUAGAAAACUAUGUGUGAGACCCGUAUAUUAUACGAGUUAAUUUCAAAAAAUUUAAACAUUAAAAUGUAAGCAGUAAAUAUUUUUUAUGUAAAAAUUUAAAAUAAGAAAGAAAGAAAUAUAUUCAUUGCAAUUUAAUUUCAUAUAUAUUAUAUUUAAUACUUUACAUAUAUAAAUAUGUGACUUUAAUUUUAAAAAUUAAAACGAACCAAAAAUUGACAAGUGGAUAAUAUUUAUUUCAAAAAUACUAUAAAAUGACAAGUGUCAAAACUAAUGAGAGAUUGACAAGUGGUAUAAAAACCUUCAUUUAUUAGAGGAGAUUAAUAUAUUAACUUUACAUACCUCCAUAGCAUUUUUGGUCCAUGUGCUUUCCCCAUAUCUGAAUUUUAGUCCCUAAGUAACAAAAAUUUCAAAAAUGGUCCAUGUGUUUUCAAAAAAUUUGAUGUUUGGUCCUUUUUGAUAACUCCGUUAGCUUUUAGUCGUUAACUAUUAUUUGAUUAUAUAUCCGGAGGGCAUUUCCGUCAUUUCACGAACACAGGGACCAUUUAUGAUGUUUUGUCUUAUUUAAAAAAAUAAGCAAAAAGAAAUUUAUUGUUUAUCUCUCUCUCUCUCUCUCUCUCUCUCUCUCUCCCCCCUGUUGAUUACACAUAAUCGUUUGUCUUGUUCUUGACAAUCUAAUCAAGUUCUUCAACACAUACACACAAAGUUUUGAAAGUACAGGGAGGGACAAGGACAAUCUGUGAAAUAUUUGAUAAAUAUUUGAUACUUAGGGACUGGGAAAAAUACAGGGACCAAAAAUGAUGUUUUUUCAUUAAGUAAUUUAGUUAUUAAAUGAAUAUAUUAUAUAAAGAGAAUUAGUUAUGACAAAGUACACAAAAUAUCAUAUAUUUUGAUUAAAUUAUAAUUUAAUACAUAUAACUUAAAAUGUAUUCAUUAUAAAUAUAUAUUAUAUUAGUUAUUUCGGUUUACACGGACUAUCACAUAUUUUAGUAAUUGUAUAUUGAUUAAAUUAUAAAUUAUUACAUAAAAUUUAAUAUUUAUCUGUUAUAAAUGAUAAUAUGUAUAUAUAAUCGAUGAUUAUCUGNNNNNNNNNNNNNNNNUUUUCUUUAUCUAUAGAGAGUUCAUACUUAUAUAAUUAAAAUAUUUAAAACAAAUUUUGAAAUAUUAUUUUUAGAAAACAACUAGUUUUGUUUUUAGAUAACGUAUCUGUUUGUAACAAAUUUUAAUACUAGUUCUUAUGAGCCAUCUAGCAUCAUUAAUAUGAUUAUUGUUUAAAAUCGUACCUAGAUUAGUAGGUUUAUAAGAAUCUUUAAGAUUUUGCUCAGAGUUAUUUAUAGAUUCGUGGAUUUGCUGUAUUCUUAAAAGAAUAUUUCUAUUAGGAAUACAAUUCAUCAAGAUUUUCUUAGACAUAAUUAAAUAAUUUAAGCAUGAGUUUAAUUAACUUGAUUAUUAAAAACGAGCACUAUUUUAACAAAAAUUUCAAAUCUUGUAGAAUUAAUAGUUAGAAUAAUUCGAAAUGAAACUAUCAUGGAGAAAAAAAUUUAAUAAAAAGAAUACAACGAUAAAAUAUUUAGAUAGUACCUUCUUGAGUUAAGCUUGAAUUACAAUCAAUACAUACAUCUGGAGAAUGAAUUAUUUGAAAAUCUAGAGACUUUGAACAUCUACUAGUAGAAAGAAAGACUCUUGGAGAUUUUUUAGACAUGAGAUGAACAUUUUUUAAAGAAUGAAUAUUUUCUUUCUUGCCUCUUCUCAAAUAUGAUGUCUAUUUAUAUUCAUCUUAAAGUCUUCAAAGCCUUGAAAUUCUUGUAGUGAAAUUUUCCAUAUGAUCAAAUGGCCAAUCAAUUACUUGUAAGUGGUUGUCACUCAUCUUUUGAAGAAUUUGUCGUUUGUAAUCAAUGAAUAUCUUCUUUUGAUAAAGCAUCCCAUUAUAGAGCAUCUUCUAAUGUUUCUUGUCUUCAUAUUAUCAUUGAUGAUAAGAAUAAAUAAUUUUGAUAAUAAAUUUGAUAAUAUUUGUUUAUACACUAUAAAUAUAUAUAUUGUGUAUACUCACACAGUUUAUACACACUCAUAUUUGAAAUAAUAAUUUUGAUAAUAGAAGAAACGAAAUACCUUACAUUGAAGGUAUUACACCAAAUUUAAUGAUAACAAUUUCUUAUUUUUCAUAAGGAUUAUCAAAAGGGUCUUGAAAGUCUCUGGAAAUAAAUCAUUUUUUAUUGAUUUUGGAGAAUCGUCUGAAACUGAUGGAGUUUGGCAAAUUUCUUGAAGUAGCUUUUGAAGUUCUUCAGGAGAAGAGGUAGCAACAUCUUUAAUUCUUGCAAUUAGAUCCACAUCACUUUGAGGAAGACUGUUGAUAAAAGUGGCUUCAACCUCUGGUUUUUGAAUAUAUAUUUCUUGAUAAUGUUUAAUUACUGCUUGUUCACUGGCUUGAGAAAUCUUCAUUUUAUCCCACCAUUUUGAGCGAAAUUGGUGAUUAAACCAAGGAGGAGAGGAAUCCUUUGAUUCUUGAUAAUAAAAACUCCAAGACAUUAUCCAUGGAAGUUUAAAUAUUAUGGUGAAUUGUAACAUACAUUCAAAUUCUGGAAUUUGUUGAAUAAAUAAUUCCUUAAAUUUGAGAUAUCCAGCGUAAAUUUCUUUUGGUAUACAAUUUGGAAGAAUUCUCAUACAUUUGUACCAAUUGAUAAACCAUCUUGGAUAUUCACAAUUGAAGUUCAAAUCAAAGAAGAUAAACCAUGAGUGUGAAUAAUUCUGAACAAAGAAUGUCUUAGUCUAGACAUCUUGAUAUUCAUAGUAAUAAAAUCUGAGAUAAGCAGGAUAACUUAUAAGAGGUUUUUCAGAGUGAAGGUUUGGAACCCAACUUUCUGGAGAGAUGAUUUUAAUAAUAUGAGCUUUGCUAAAAUCAAUGUUUCCCUCUUUUGAAUUAGAACGAUGAACAAAAUUAACUAAACCAGAUUCUUGCAGAAUAGCUUCACAAUAUUCUCGAGUUUUGUAUGAAUCAACAUAAAAGGUUUUCCCUUAACCAAAGAGAUGAUUUGUGAGAAUAUGAAAACCUUGAUGUAACUUAUGGAUUUGAAAAUCUUCAAGAAUUUGAACUCUUAAGAAAUUUAGAUUAAGAACAUAAGGAAUUUUUUUAGAAGGGCUAGGAGUAACAGAUUUUUAAGUUUGAGGAGUGAUAAGUUUUGCCAAAGGGCUUAUCGUGUCGGUUGAAGUAACUUUUGGAGUAACAAGUUUUGACUGAAGGAUAUUAGAAUAAAGUUGUGAAUUCUUAGAAGUAGGAGUUAAAGGAGAAAAACGAUUUUGAUUUUGAAAUGGAACAAACUUUAGAGAGACUGGCUUGUUGUCAUUAUGUUUGGAAGAGGACGAUGAACUCAUUUUCCCUCCAAAAUUUCUCGAGAAAGAAAGUCAGGAAGCGAAUUAUUUUCUCCUUUUAUUAAUUCUAUCUUCAUAUCAAAGUUACCUAAGAGGGCUUGCCAAGGAGCAAAAAUUUGCUUGGAAAUAAUAUUUUUCACAUCUUUUUCUAAAAUAGUUUUUGUAGAUUGACAAUCUAUUUUUAAUAAAUUAAAUUUCAUAAAUAAAUCAUCUUCGAAUUUUUUAAUACAUAAAACAAUUCUUAAAAUUUCUUUUUUGACAGUUGAAUAAUUUUUUGGUGUAUCAUUCCAUGGACCAGAGUAAUACCGAACCAAUUGUUCCUUAGUUGAGUUAAUAAAUUUUUGUUUUAGAAUUCCUCCGAAUCCAAUAUCACUAGCAUCGGUUUCAACUAUGAUAUUGGCAUUGGGAUGAGGUAAAUUUUUAUCUUUUAUAGAAUCAAGAGAGUUUAAAAGAUCUUUAUCAUCUUGUGAAAGAUAAAAAUAUCCAAGAAUUAUUAAUAAAACAGAUGCUUAAUAAAACUAAUAACAUAACUCUUGCUCAUAAUGAAAAUUUUAAUUUAAAAAAUAUAUAUGAAAGAUUUACUGAAGCAAAGCCAAUUUCUAUGCAAGAACUUCAAGAAGAAUUAAAAAUAGUAAAACAAAAAAUAAAAGAAUUAAAAAAUAAAAUUUUAAUUUUAGAAAAAGAAAAACCUUCUACUUUUAAAAACAAAAAUAUAUAAAUUAAUUGAAAAUGUAACUAUUGGUAAAAUUAUAAAUAAUCAAGUUUCACAAAAAUGAAACACUCAAAUUACUUUAGUCAAGGAUAAUUUUAAAAUCAACCUAACUACUUUAAUUGAUAGUGGUGUUGAUAUGAAUUGUAUUCAAGAAGGAUUUUCCCUACACAAUUCUAUGAAAAAACUGCAUCUAGACUUACUGGUGCCGGAGGUACAAAAUUAAUUGGAAAUUAUAAAGUUUCCGAUGUUCAUAUAUGUAAUGACCAAGAUUACUGCUAUAAAACUCACCUAAUUUUAGUAAAAGAUCUCUCUUCUCCUUUAAUUCUAGGAACGCCUUUCAUUAUAAAACUAUGUCCUUUUAUGGUUCAUGAUGAUGGUAUAAGAAACAAUGUUUUUGGAAAAUAAAUUAUAUUUAAAUUUUAUGAACCUCCUUUAUAUUCAACAAUUAAUGUCCUUAAUUAUAAAACGUAACAAGCCAAAUAUCUUAUUAAUGAAAUAAAAUAUGUUCGAAUAAGUAAUCAACUAAAUGAUAAUAAUAUUAAAAAAAAAAAUAACAGGUUUAAAAUUAAAAUUUGAAAAAAAAAUGUUUGUUCUAAUAUUCCUAAUGCAUUUUGGAAUACAAGACAACAUAUUGUAAAACUACCAUAUAUAAAAUUUUUUAAUGAAAACGAUAUUCCUUCAAAAUCUAGAGUCAUUCACAUGAAUAAUGAAUUAGAAAGUCACUGUAAAAAUGAAAUUCAAGAUUUAAUAAAUAAAAAACUCAUAAGACCUUCUAAAUCACCGUGGUCUUGUUCAACAUUUUAUGUUAUGAAUGCCGCAGAAUUAGAAAGAGGGUCACCAAGAUUAGUUAUCAAUUAUAAACAUUUAAACAAAGUUUUAGAAUGGAUUCGUUAUCAUAUUCUUAAUAAACGAAAUUUGCUAAAAAAGCUUUAUGAUUUAAAAAUAUUUUCAAAGUUUGAUAUAAAAUCAGGAUUUUGGCAAAUACAACUUCAUGAGGAAAAUAAAUACAAAACUGGUUUUAAUGUUCCCUUCGGGCAUUUUGAAUGGAAUGUAAUGCCUUUUGGAUUAAAAAAUGCUCCUUCUGAAUUCCAAAAUAUUAGGAAUGAUAUCAUAACUCCUAUAAGUAGUUUUGUCUUUGCUUAUAUUGACGAUGUCCUAAUUUUUUCAAAAUCAAUUGAUCAACAUUUUAAACAUUUAAAUCAAUUUCAUGAUUUAAUUUAUCAAAAUGGUUUAGCUGUCUCUGCACCAAAAAUGCAUUUAUUUAAAAAUGAAAUUUGUUUUUUAGGACAUGAUAUUGUCAAAAAUACUAUUAGACCUAUUACAAGAAGCUUGCAAUUUUCUACUAAAUUUCCUGAUGAAAUUAAAGAUAAAAAGCAACUUCAAAGGUUUUUAGGAUGCUUAAAAUAUAUUCAUGAUUUUUUCAAAGAUUUAGGGAUUAUAUGUAAACCGCUUUAUAAUAGAUUAAAAGACAAUCCUGAACUAUGGACUCAAAAACAUACAGAUAUAAUUAAAUAUAUAAAACAAAAGGUUCGUACUUUGCCAUGUUUAAAUUUACCUCAUCCCAAUGCCAACAUCAUAGUUGAAACCGAUGCUAGUGAUACUGGAUUCGGAGGAAUUCUAAAACAAAAUUUUGUUAACUCAAUUAAGGAACAAUUGGUUCGAUAUUACUCUGGUGCAUGGAUGGAAUGAUACACAAAAAAAAUUAUUCAACUAUCAAAAAAGAAAUUUUAAGAAUUGUUUUAUGUAUUAAAAAAAUUUGAAGAUGAUUUAUUUAUGAAAAGUUUUUUUUUAUUAAGAAUAGAUUGUCAAUCUGCAAAAACUAUUUUAGAAAAAGAUGUGAAAAAUAUUAUUUCCAAGAAAAAUUUUGCUCGUUGGCAAGCCCUCUUAGGUAACUAUGAUUUCAAAAUAGAAUUAACAAAAGGAGAAAAUAAUUCGCUUCCUGACUUUCUUUCUCGAGAAUUUUUGCAGGGAAAAUGAGUUUGUCGUCCUCUUCCAAACAUGAUGACAAGAAGCCAGUCUCUCAAAAGUUUACUCCAUUUCAAAAUCAAAUCGUUUUUCUCCUUUAAAUCCUACUUCUAAGAAUUCACAACUUUAUUCUAAUAUCCUUCAGUCAAAACUUGUUACUCCAAAAGUUACUUCAAUUGACACGAUAAGCCCUUUUGCAAAACCUAUCACUCCUCAAACUCAAAAAUCUGUUACUCCUAGCUCUUCUACAAAAACUCCUUAUGUUCUUAAUCCAAAUUUCUUAAGAGUUCAAAUUCUUGAAGAUUUUAAAAUCCAUAAGUUACAUCAAGGUUUUCAUAUUCUCACAAAUCAUCUCUUUCGUCAAGGGAAAACCUUUUAUGUUGAUUCAUACAAAACUUGAGAAUAUUAUCAAGCUAUUCUGCAAGAAUCUGGUUCAGUCAAUUUUGUUCAUCGUUCUAAUUCAAAAGAAGGAAACAUUGAUUUUAAAUAAGCACAUAUUAUUAAAAUCAUCUCUCCAGAAAGUUGGGUUCCAAACCUUCACUCUAAAAAACCUCUUAUAAGUUAUCCUGCUUAUCCCAGAUUUUCUUACUAUGAUUAUCAAGAUGCCUGGACUAAGGCAUUCUUUGUUCGGAAUUAUUCACACUCAUGGUUUAUCUUUUUUGAUUUGAACUUCAAUUUUGAAUAUCCAAGAUGGUUUAUCAAUUGGUACAAAUAUAUGAGAAUUCUUCCAAAUUGUAUACCAAAAGAAAUUUACGCUGGAUAUCUCAAAUUUAAGGAAUUGUUUAUUCAACAAAUUCCAGAAUUUGAAUGUAUGUUACAAUUCACCAUAAUAUUUAAACUUCCAUGGAUAAUGUCUUGGAGUUUUUAUUAUCAAGAAUCAAAGGAUUCCUCUCCUCCUUGGUUUAAUCACCAAUUUCGCUCAAAAUGGUGGGAUAAAAUGAAGAUUUCUCAAGCCAGUGAACAAGCAGUAAUUAAACAUUAUCAAGAAAUAUAUAUUCAAAAACCAGAGGUUGAAGCCACUUUUAUCAACAAUCUUCCUAAAAGUGAUGUGGAUCUAAUUGCAAGAAUUAAAGAUGCUGCUACCUCUUCCCCUGAAGAACUUCAAAAAUUACUUCAAGAAAUUCGCCAAACUCCAUCAGUUUCUGACGAUUCUCCAAAAUCUAUAAAGAAUGAUUUAUUUGAAGACGCUCAAGACCCUUUUGAUGAUCCUUAUGAAGAAUAAGAAAUCAUUAUCCAUAAAUUUGAUGUAAUACUUUAAAUGUAGGAUAUUUCGUUUCUUCUNAUUAUUAUUUCAAAUACGAGUGUGUAUAAACUGUGUGAGUAUACACAAUAUAUGUAUUUAUAGUGUAUAAACAAAUAUUAUCAAAUUUGUUAUCAAAAUUAUUUAUUCUUAUCAUCAAUGAUAAUAUGAACACAAGAAACAUUAGAAGAUGCUCUAUAAUGGGAUGCUUUAUCAAAAGAAGAUAUUCAUUGAUUACAAACGACAAUUUCUUCAAAAUAUGAGUGACAACCACUUACAAGUAAUUGAUUGGCCAUUUGAUCAUAUGGCAAAUUUCACUACAAGAAUUUCAAGGCUUUGAAGACUUUAAGAUGAAUAUAAAUAGACAUCAUAUUUGAGAAGAGGCAAGAAAGAAUAUUCAUUCUUUAAAAAAUGUUCAUCCCAUGUCUAAAAAAUCUCCAAGAGUCUUUCUUUCUACUAGUAGAUGUUCAAAGUCUCUAGAUUUUCAAAUAAUUCAUUCUCCAGAUGUAUGUAUUGAUUGUAAUUCAAGCUUAACUCAAGAAGGUACUAUCUAAAUAUUUUAUCGUUGUAUUGUUUUUAUUAAAUUUAUUUCUCCAUAAUAGUUUCAUUUCGAAUUAUUCUAACUAUUAAUUCUACAAGAUUUGAAAUUUUUGUUAAAAUAGUGCUCGUUUUUAAUAAUCAAGUUAAUUAAACUCAUGCUUAAAUUAUUUAAUUAUGUCUAAGAAAAUCUUGAUGAAUUGUAUUCCUAAUAGAAAUAUUCUUUUAAGAAUACAGCAAAUCCACGAAUCUAUAAAUAACUCUGAGCAAAAUCUUAAAGAUUCUUAUAAACCUACUAAUUUAGGUACGAUUUUAAACAAUAAUCAUAUUCAUGAUGCUAGAUGGGUCAUAAGAACUAGUAUUAAAAUUCAUUACAAACAGAUACAUUAUCUAAAAACAAAACUAGUUGUUUUCUAAAAAUAAUAUUUUAAAAAAUUGUUUUAAAUAUUUUAAUUAUAUAAGUAUGAACUCUCUAUAGAUAAAGAAAACUCUAUUAAAUACAAACAUUAAAAAAUGGUAUGUUUUCUCUAUAGAUAAAGAAAACUCUAUUAAAUACAAACAUUAAAAAAUUCUCAUGCAUUUGAAACCCUUUUUUUAACUUCCUCAAACCACAUUCAUUUGAAAACCCCUUUUUUUAACAAAUGCAGCUUAAAAUUUUUCUUAAUUAUGAUUUAACACUCAAAAGUUUUAUAACUUAUAUUAUGUUUAAUUAGCAUUUAGUGAAUAGUUUACUAUAAAAAGGUCAAUAUUUUGGGAAGACAUGCAUACAGAUCAUAUACAAAUUUCAAAAAGAAAACAAACUUAAAGAUUUUUAUGUUGGGUUGAGGUCUUAUGAAAUAUGCUAUUAUAUUAGAGCUGUUAACUUAAUUUGGAAGUUUGUUAUACUAAUUUGUUUUUAUAUUUUCUUCGUUUUUGGAUUAUUGUAAUACAGUCGCUGUAUAUUGUGGUUUAAUCAUUAAUAUAUUGAUCAUGUUAUAUAGUGUGAUGUCGAAAUAUUUAAUUAAAUAUUUUAAAUAUGUUUUUUUUUUGUUUUGUAAUUGUAUCGUUUCAAAAAGAUAAUUAAUUAAAACUCAUACAUAUGUUAUACUUUCCAUCUCUCUCUCUCUCUCUCUCUAUAUAUAUAUAUAUAUAUAUGUGUGUGUGUGUGUGUGUAUAUAUAUAUAUAUAUAUAUAUAUANNNNNNNNNNNNNNNNNNNNNNNNNNNNNNNNNNNNNNNNNNNNNNNNNNNNNNNNNNNNNNNNNNNNNNNNNNUAUAUAUAUAUAUAUAUAUAUAUAUAUUAUAAUAGAGGUCAAAACACUUCAACCAAAAUUCAUUUAAAAUCUAUAUUUCAAAUGCUUUAUAAUAAUGAUUGUAAAAAUUUCAACAUGUUUUACUUAAUUGAUUGAUUAAUAAAAAUAUUAGUGUUUUGAAACUCCUAACUCUUAAACUUAUAUUAUAUAAUUUGUUAGUUAACUAAAAUAUUUUUCCUACAUAAAGAUAACAUUUUUAUGUUUGGUUAUCCAUAUUUGUUGAUGUAAUUAGAAAACAAGGUGUACAUAGAAUGACUACUUCAAUUUCACAUAGGAAUCGAUACCACUAGAGAGGUAUGUUGUCUUUAACCAGUGGUAGGAGAUCGAUAUACCAUUUUUAAUUAUUUAUAUUAAUGCUUAGUAAUAUCUAUUUUAUAUAUUCCUAUUCACCUUAAUUUUUUAGGUACAAAUUAAGGAAGAGGAUUAUCAGCGCACCAAUGUAAAAUCAAACAUACGCCUUGCAAAAUAUGUAAUUAAAAUUAAAUAUCAUAUUUACUAAUCGAUUUAUUUUAAAACUCUUGAUGACAUUUAUGUAUAAUAUAACGUCUGUAGAUCAGGGCUAGUCAAUUUAGAGACGAUAGGCGUCAAAAAUAAAUUUUUGAUGAAAGAUUAUUUAGAAUGAAUAAUCUUAACUAAGUUAUAGUAUAUGUUACAAGGUUUUCGUGCAUAUAAAGAACGCCGAAAUCCAAGUUAUAACGAAGAAGUUAUGACCUGUCGAAGUUUCGCGACAGAACCGGCACGACACAACGCGACGUAAAAAGUGAAUUUACGUUAGAGCAAUAUUUAGCCUUAGCAAUCUAAAUGAAAGUCGUAGAAUACGUUAAACCAUGAGCGUGCAUAAAAAGAACGCCCAAAUCUGACUUCGUAUGAGGAAGUUAUGAUUUUUCGAAGUUUUGACUUAGCGGUAUGCAGCCCGAAUACUCGAUUUGAGACCGAGCAGUUUUUAGCCAAAACAAUCUAAAUGAGAAUUGAAGAUCUCAUUAAUUGUAGUAAAACGAUAAAAAGAUAGGCGAAAACGGACGUCGGAUGAAGAAGUUAUGAUUUUAUAACGGAGUUUUCCUGUCCCGGCCUACUAAAAAUAAAUAAUAAAAAUAAAGUCAAAAUUAGCCGACGGAGUCUAAACGAAAGUUGUAGAUCGUAGUCUCACCUACGCGUGGAUAUAAAGAACGUCGAAAACGGAGUUCGUAUGAGGAAGAUAUGAAUUUUUGAAGUUUAUUAAAUAUUUUCGAAAUUAAAUUUAAAUAUAAAUUUUCGAUAUUAUCCAAGGGGGGAGUCACCGGGCUUAUCCAGGUUACGCCCCGCGUAACUUAAGAGUACGCCCCGCGUAAAUCGCAGAUCCAGACCCUAUAAAAGGGAGUCGAGUGCAGCCGAUUCAAUUGCUCAUUUCUCUUCUUUCUCUCGCGUUUUUGCAUCGUUUUUCGUGCAAGAAUUAUCCCGAAGCCCCGGUAUCAUUCCCGAGCCCCGAAGCAAGUCCCGAGGCCCCGAAGAUCCCGAGAAGUGAAAUUCCCGAGCCGAAGCUCUGCCCGCGAGGAGUCCGGUUUUUGUGAAGAUCUUCCAGAUCUGCCGAAGAAUACUACUUCUACAAGUCGUAGUGCUGUCCGAUCAUCUUCUGAUCAAGUGAGUGUGUAGUUACUUUCUUCUAACNNNNNNNNNNNNNNNNNNNNNNNNNNNNNNNNNNNNNNNNNNNNNNNNNNNNNNNNNNNNNNNNNNNNNNNNNNNNNNNNNNNNNNNNNNNNNNNNNNNNNNNNNNNNNNNNNNNNNNNNNNNNNNNNNNNNNNNNNNNNNNNNNNNNNNNNNNNNNNNNNNNNNNNNNNNNNNNNNNNNNNNNNNNNNNNNNNNNNNNNNNNNNNNNNNNNNNNNNNNNNNNNNNNNNNNNNNNNNNNNNNNNNNNNNNNNNNNNNNNNNNNNNNNNNNNNNNNGUGUUAUGUGUAUAAUUUUUGUUGUUAUGUGUGUGAAUGUAUAUUCACUUUCUUCUAUCUCAUAGAUCUGAUUUAUUCUCUAUGAAAUACGUGUUAUGUGAGUGUGCCUCAUCUGUUAUGUGGAAUAGGUAUUGAAUGAGAAUGUUAUACAGGUUUUAAACUAUGUAUCAAAAUAUAUAUUUUUAUCUACUAAUAUGUUGGGUGGAACAUGGGUAGAUAGUUGAUGUGUGAGAAACAGAUGAGAGGCCCCGAUGUUGUUGUUGUUGAUCUAGUUAUUCAGCGAGUAUGAAUUAGACCAAGAGGUUAAUUUUAGAUCCGGGAGUAUGGAUCAGGUAAAGAGAUAAAACUUGUUAUUAGUCCGGGAGUAUGAAUUAAGACUAAGUUAAGUGUCCCUAGUCCGGGAGUAUGGAUUGGGCACAGUUAUUGAUCCGGGAGUAUGGAUCAGAUCAGGGUUAGGGUAUAGUUAAUUGUACUUAUUCCGGGAGUAUGGAUUGGGUACAAUUAUUGAUCUGGGAGUAUGGAUCUGAUCAGGAGGUUAGUUUUAGAUCUGUGAGUAUGGAUCAAGUAGUUUUAGAUCCGUGAGUAUGGAUCGGUGAAGAGGAUAGUUUUAGAUCCAUGAGUAGGGAUCAGGUAAAGAGGAAAAUUUUAGAUACGAGAGUUUAGAUCGUGUCAUUGUGAGGAUCGAUGGGGUGGGUUAAGAGUUGCCUUUAUAUCGUGAAAUUGUGCAAGUUUGAAUGUUCUAUAUUUAUAAAUAUAUGAUAUAACAUUGUGGGAUGAAAACCCUAUAUGCUCACCAGGCUCCCAAGCCUGACCCACUCAGUUUUCUUUGUAUCACAGGUAUUAAUACGAAGACAUAUUUCACAGAGAGAUUUAAAGGAGAUAUAAAUCAAUUGUGUAAUUAAAUGUAAGUUCUGUUUAUGCUUAUAUGUCUGUAUCGGAACAUGACAUCCCGAGGUUUUAUUAUUAAAUGAAAAAUACAUUCCCUUUAAGAAAUGUUUUGAUAAGUUAUUAUCAUGUCUUGUUUUGGGAACAAAUUCUGCAACCAUUAUCUUUAAAAAGAGUACUCUGAUUUUAAAAAACAAAUAAUAAACAAAAUCGAUCUUUUCUGGCCGUGAAAAUGGGGAUGUCACAUAUAAUGAUAUAUUUUGUAUGACUUCAUUCUUACUUUGAAUGUUUAAUAUUUGAAAGUUCAUAUAUGAAACCUUGGAUGUUUUGGUGUAAUAUAAAUAGUGUAAUACAAAGUCUAUUAGUUCAAUAUUGUUUAUUAAUAGCUCAUUCAAAACUACUUAUUUCUUAUUUUAUCCAAAAAAUAUUAUCGGAUAUAAGAAAAGUAAACUAUAUUAAUGUUAUACAAAAACUUAUAAUAUAUAUUGGAUAUUAUAAAAGUAAAAAUAAAGCUUAUAAGGUAUGGACUAUAUAUUAGAUUGUAUCAAAAUAUAAAUUGAUGGAUUUUUAUGUUUUUUGAUAAUUCGGUUAAUACACAAAACAUGACUAAAAACGUAAAUUUCAACAUAUUUCUAUUUUUUCCCAUAAUUAUUUUAACCACUUAAAUGUAUUCUUGCACAACGCACGAGGUUAUGCCUAGUAUAUUUAUAAAGCUAGCAUUUUUCUUUUCACCACAUUCAUUUGAAACUCACAUGCAUUUUUUUUUCACCAUAUUCAUUUGAAACUCCCAUGACUUUUCAAUUUCUUUCUAAUCAUAAUUAUAAUUUGGUUACUUAGGUUAAAUAAAUAUCAAACAUAAAGUGUAAUCAUAUAUAAACUUAAUUUCAAUAUUAAAAUAAUAUAUUCACUUCUACUUAUAAAAUUAUGUAUAUAUGUUUGUAUGUUUGUGUUGCUUCAAAAAAAUAAUUAAUUAAAAAUAAUUGAUAUGUCAUAUUAUCCAUAUUAUCCAUGUAAGUCUCUUUAAAAAUUCAAAUUGUCUAUCUUAUCACUUUAUAUUUUAGUAUAUGUUUACUAUUUUAAUUAUAAUAAUAAGUGUUUUUUUAAAAGUUUUCUUUCACUUAUUAAUAAUAAAUGGUCUUAAAAUUAACUGACAUUAGUUAUAAAUAAUAAAAACAAAUUAUAAAAAUCAUGGAUAUGUUAUAUUAUCCAUGCAUGACUCACUUUGAAAUGCAAUUUGUCAAUCCUAUCACUUUAUUAUUUAGUAUAUGCUUCAUAUUUGAGUCUUCUUUAACUUAUUAAUAACAAUAAGUGGUUUAAAAUUAAUAAAAAAAAUUUAAAUGAUAAUAACAUCAAAUUAUAAAUUACAUAACAUUAGCUACAAAUAAAUUGUAUUUAAAUGAACAUCAUUAAUGAAAUUAGAAAAUAAUUGCAUAAGUAAAAACACUAUGUUUAUGUUAUUAUUCUAUAAUGAAUGUUGUAUAUGUCUAUUGUUGAAGUAAUUCUAAUAUGAAUAUUAACAUUUGAUUAUUCAUUUAUUCAAUAGAAUGUUAUUAUUCUAUUAUAAAUUUAUGUAUGUGCAUUUUUGUAGAAAAUUCUAAUUUUUGUUUUACCCCGUGACUAUUCAUUUAUUCAUUGCUGAAUAAUAACAUAAAGUUGUGGAUACAAAAUUCAUUGCAGAAUAAUAACAUAAAAAUAAUGUUUUUACGUUCUCACAUUAUUUACUGUUUUUAUUUGAACUAUCCCCUAUAUAUAUAUAUAUAUAUAUGGUGGGUGAAUAGUCAUUAAGAUAAUCAUCUAUUGAUUAGGGAUAAUUUAAUGUAAACCUCCCGAAACCAUCACCAAGAUGACUACAUAAUUCAGAUGAUUCAAAAGGCUAUCAGGGAUUUAAACCAAACAACGGAUGAUUCAAAAGGCUAAUGUAAUCCAAACAACGGAUGAUUCAAAAGGCUAAGGCUAUCAGGGAUGUAAACCAAACAACAUCACAGUCAUGUACAAUAAAAGCAAUAACAAUGACUAGAAUUAAUUGGUGACACGAAACCAACAAUGAACUGUCGUUGCCAACGCCAAUAUGACCAGUCAAAGACAAAAAAAUUGGAAACCUACAAAGAUAUCGAACAACAUAAUUUGAAACCAAAUGUGUAUUAGCCUAGCGUUAUCAAUAUUUGACCGAUAACAUAUUAAACAGCAACAUAGUUUGAUACCGAUUGAGUAUUAGCCUAGUGGUAUCAACAUAAUUUCAAGUCUCAAGUUGGGAUGAAAUGUGUAGAUUUAAUAUUAGAACAACGAGUGCAUGUGUAAACCGUUAAAAUAAUUAAUUUUCAUUAUGAUCCCUAUUUAUGUCAAUUAAUUAUUUUAACGUUAUGUAUUUUACUGACACUUAUUUUCAUUCCUUUUUGGUCCUUACGUCCAUGAGUCCAUUGUUAGUUUUUUACAUCGACUUUAGACAUCGAAUAUUACCGAAUGUCAAAUAUACCCUUAAGUUUCAUAUAUAAUUUUUGAGACUAACAGAGUGUUAAUGCUCUGUUUUAUCAUUCGAUGUGAUAAAUAGUUUUAUUAUUUAAUAGUUAGCUUUUAUUAUUAUUUUAGUUAUUUCUAUAUUGACAUAUUUCCACGAUAGGCUUCAAUUUUGCCAUUGAUGCUGCAAUGCAUUUUAGACCUCAAGACUAUCUUGUAUACCAAAUCUCCACGGUAUUUUAUAUGACAUUAUGUAACNNNNNNNNNNNNAUAAGUUCAACAAGAUAAAAUAAAACAGGUUGACAAUGUUUGAUUGGACAAGGAUUGGGACCUAUGUCAUUGUGACAAAAAUAGUCCUGGAAAACUUGUCCAUUCUUGUGUAACAAAUGCAGCCUAAUUGACUUAUAUUUACAUGAAUCUUGAUUUUGUUGUUGGAACACAAUACAGUAGGGUUUGGAUGUGGUGCAUGGGUGUUAGGGUGCAAAGUCACUCUUGGAUGUAGUGUUUUAGGCUUACCCUCUUGUAUGUGUAAAUAGGUUGAGUCUUUCCUAUAAAUAGGAAGUGAGUGACUCUUAUUAUGAAAUGAACAAUUUGGAGUGUUAGACUAGAGAGAGAAACUUUGCACAAAUCCAUUUGUAUAUUCUUUCUAGAUCUAAUAUGAGCUUACACAUAUUUAAUUACUCCUUGUGUUCUUGAAUUUACAUGAUGAUUCACUAGAUCUUUCUAAUUCUGCACAUGUCAUCAUAAUCUACACCACUACAUUUCGUAUCAGAGCGGGUGUUCUUGAUUGGAUCAAGAAUUGAUCCUUGAUGGCUAUCUUGAUUUGGUGAUUCUUCAUGUUCUUAUUGAUCUUCGUGUUUUGAGAGUGUUCUGUGUUCUAGAAAUCGAUUUUUUCCUUGAUUUGAUCCAUAAUUCGAUUUUCUCUCUCUAGAAUACUUGUUUGUAUCACUUUUUCUCUCUAGAAAACUCAUUCAAAAUCACUUUCUCUCUCUAGAAAUUUUCAAGUUCUUGUGAUCAUGGUGAAUUUGCAUUAUGAUUCUUGGGUUGUGAUCGUUGAAGAUGUCAAAUACAAAGUCAAUGAAGAUCAGUUUUAUGGGUUAUUGUUAAACCGGUUGAUUUCAUGGGAUACUAUGGUUUCUUAUGGAGGCUUGAAAGAUGAUCAUGGAAUGUUAAUUUUUCAACGACUUGGGGAGAUUGAAUUUUUAAUCACAAUCGCAUUGUACAUGUUAAAUCGUAAUGGAAAUCAGAAGGAAGGAAAAGAAAGAGAUUUGUUUAAUAAGAAAUACAUUUCUCUUAUUGAAGACCCAAAUGAUCUUCUUGCUCUUAAGGUUUUUGAAGUUCAAAACAAUGGAGUUCAAUGUGAUGUUCUUGAGGUUCAAGAAAAAGGAGUUCAAGUUGAUUUUCAAGAUGAAAUUUUUUUUUGAAACAUCCUUUCACGACUCUAUUCCCAUCUCAAUCCCCUGAAGAUCCUCAACCAAUAACUUCUCAAGCUCAUUCCGAUGAUGAAACCUAAGGAGGUGGUUUUGGAGGUACAUUUGAAGAACUUCAUUUCGAUUCAGAGGAGGAGAUACCUGACCACAUGCUUAUGUCGGGUAAACAAUUCAAAAUCCUUAAUCGCAAGUUAAAUACCAUCCUUCAGUCACAAGCUGACUCUGGUGCAAAGCAUUCGCUUUCUGGUAUGGAGGUUGAUGCGAUGAUAAAAGCACCAGAAAUAAGACAGAAGACUGCUUGAGAAGAUAGAUGGUAAUGAUCAAAAUAAUGAGUUUUGGCUUAAAGCUCAAGGGAAAAACUUUGAUGGUGCCUUACAAGAACUGAAAAAUGUCAGAAAAGAACGUCAUGUUCUUUUUGUCCAAGAUGUCAAGAAAGUAAGGGAGGACGUGAACUUGAAAGUCGAAGAGUUAAAGCAAGAGAUUGCAAAAGAGCUUCAACAAAUUACUUCGCAAAAUUCGAUAGUGCAACAACGUGUUGAUAUCGUGGCUGACGCACUCACAAAAAUUGUUAAAGACUAUCAAUCAACUGCGCCAACUAUCGAAGCCAAGAGCAAAGAUGACAAGGAGCAGUUCGCUAAGCUCAUUGAGUUAUUAGCUGAACUAAAGGGCAUUGUGUCAAAGCCUACUCCUCAGACAAUUUUGACUCCUGAAUUCCUAACGCUAAAAGUGAAUUCGUUGGAGCAGGCAAUUCAGAAGGCUUUGGCUCCUAUAACAAAUUUUACUUUGCUUUUGCCGAAGAAUGCCCCACCUGCUUUCACAGGGGUGCAAGGGGGAGAAGUAAAAGGAAGUAAAGGGGAGGAUGGAAAAGUUGUUGGGAAAUUGCAUUCGACUCAACUAAAAACGACAUUACCUUUGAAGACCAGCCCAAUUCCUUCAACAAUAGUAACAUCAAAACCAAUUACAAAAUUAAUUCCUAAAGGAAUUAAAAUUGGUUCAGCAGAUAAAGGAAGUUCAAGUGCGAAGCCUGAUACUUCAAAUAUUGUGAAGGGAAAAGGUAUUGCUCAUGAAAAGUCGAAGGAAGAGAAGAAAGCUAAAAUUGAUGCUGAAAUAGAGAAACAGAGGCAUAUUCAAAGCAUUCUGAGGCUAAGAGAAAAUGAUCCACCAACAAUGAACAAAGGAAAUCCUGCAAAGUGAUACUCAUUUGAAACAAUUGAAUCCAGAGUAUUGGGGAACCACAUGUAUGCAUUUGAGAAAAACCAAGGAGAAGCUAUGCCACUUCGAACUCAGACAUAUGUCAACUAGACUUCCCAAUUAAUGAAAUGAUGUUUAUCACUUCACAGUACAAGGUCAGUGAAAGAUUCAAACAUCCUGAGGAGUACACUUACUUGAAAAUUAGAUUUCAUGCUGUACUUGGGAAAAAUCAAGAUGAAGUUUGGUCCCUGGUAAAGAUAAAAAGAGUGAUGGCAAUCAAGAAAGAUGUAAUGUUCGAAAAUCUGCUUCAGAACUUUUGUUACUUUGUGGUUCGAGCAGACAAUAAACCAUUUGAUUUUACAAUUGCUGACUUUCCUUUGAUGAAUCUCAAUGAUCUCAUUCAAGUGGCCCUAAUUUUGAAGGAUAUGGAAGAAACCCAUCUGAAGGAAACUGAUUUAGAUGUGUUUAGACUUGGUUUAGGGCAUCUCAAGAUAUUCAUAGAAAAUUACUAUGAUUGCUUGGCCUUAACUGAUGAAGAGCUUGCUUCAGGUCUUGGAAGAAAGGGUAAUGUUUCUAUGGACCCUACGAAGCCUCAACAGGAGUUGAUGAAAUAUGCUGAUGGUGAAAUUUGUCUCAAACCAUUUAGCAUGGUAUUCGCAGGGAAAGACACAAAGGGAAAGGCACGAAGAUUCUUGUUUCAAGUUGUUGAGAUCGAAAGAUACACAACUUUGCAAUAUACGAACUUUUUUGUUCGUAUGAAUAACUGCAACAAGAGCAAUGAUGAAGACAAGAAGGAACUGAAGAAAAUAAUCACUUGGUACUCAUAAAUUCGAAGGACAACGCACUCUAUUGCUCAAGUUCUCACUAAUUGAGUGACUUCGACUGUUUACAAAAGGGGAGAAUGUUGAGUCAUUUAGUUGUAAAAGUCGAAGCAUUGUUUGUUCUAUUUCGCAUGUAUUUAUUUACUAAGUCUUUUUAUGUCGAAGCUUAAUGUCUAGACUUAGUAUUUUUUGUACACUCAUGUUUCCUAUAAAUAGGGGUUGAGGAUAGAAGUAGACACACGAGUCUUUCUGCUUAUUUUGUAAUCAGUAUUGUAUUAUAAUUCUUUGUUUAAUACAAACUUGCUGAUUAAUAUUUACAUUUGGUGUUCAUAUCAUUGAUUACUCAUUCAUCUAGAUCAUGAUUGCUUUCUAAAUCUCGAUUACAAUUCUCAUCAAUGGGAAUUUAGAUUAGUUGGGAGAAUGGAGUUAAUAUUUUAGGAGUUAUGAAUUAUAAUCAUGGAACAUGAAAGCCCUAUAAAUUGACAUUUUUUUCCGCUUUUCUUGAUUUUUAUUUUAUUCGAUGAUUUAGACCGUGUUCUUAAAGACAAGACUAUCAUUUAUGAUAUGAGCAGUCAACAAAUUGAACGGGCAGAUGGUAAUUGUAAGUUUNUGAACAAUUAGUUGGUGUUUACUUCAUUUCUGCUAUCUCAAGACAUUCAAAAUUUGAAAAUCUACAAACAAUGAACAUAAUUUAAUAUUUUAUUUUAUUUUAUAUUAACUAAAAAUUAUUCAUUUUUGUAUAUAAAGUUAGAGCUACCAUCUGCCCAUCCGAUCUAUUGAACAACCAGAUCAUAAACAAUAGUCUUGACUUUAAGAACAAGGUCUAAAUCACAGAAUAAAAAAUAAAAAUCAAAAAAUGCGAAAAAGAAAAUGUUAAUUUAAAGGGUUUUCAUAUUCCAUGAUUAUAAUUCAUACCUCCUAAAAUAGUAACUCUUUCCCAACUAAUCUGAAUUCCCAUGCACCGCACCCCAAGCCCACUAUAUUGUGUUAAAUAUAAGUCAAUUAGGAAUUGAAACUUUUCUAAAGGAAAAUGCCCUAUGGGACAUUGGAGAAAAGAAGAACCAUUCAUUCCUUUAUAAUACUUUUUGCUACUUGUUUACUAAUUAGAUCAAAACUUUGGGCUAAAUGGGAAUGGGUUGGAUUCAGUAGGGCUGGUAAUAUGUACCAUGGAAAACCAACCAAGACGUUACCAACCAUACCAAAUAUGUUUGUAACCAAUAUGUUUGAUGGGUAGUACCAAUACCAAUUGAGUAAUCAUGGUACAAUAUUGGUACAAUGUUUUCAAUACAAAUGUAAUAUCAUACCAACCAAUUCCAUUAUAUAUAUAUAUAUAUAUAUAUAUAUAUAUAUAUAUNNNNNNNNNNNNNNNNNNNNNNNNNNNNNNNNNNNNNNNNNNNNNNNNNNNNNNNNNNNNNNNNNNNNNNNNNNNNNNNNNNNNNNNNNNNNNNNNNNNNNNNNNNNNNNNNNNNNNNNNNNNNNNNNNNNNNNNNNNNNNNNNNNNNNNNNNNNNNNNNNNNNNNNNNNNNNNNNNNNNNNNNNNNNNNNNNNNNNNNNNNNNNNNNNNNNNNNNNNNNNNNNNNNNNNNNNNNNNNNNNNNNNNNNNNNNNNNNNNNNNNNNNNNNNNNNNNNNNNNNNNNNNNNNNNNNNNNNNNNNNNNNNNNNNNNNNNNNNNNNNNNNNNNNNNNNNNNNNNNNNNNNNNNNNNNNNNNNNNNNNNNNNNNNNNNNNNNNNNNNNNNNNNNNNNNNNNNNNNNNNNNNNNNNNNNNNNNNNNNNNNNNNNNNNNNNNNNNNNNNNNNNNNNNNNNNNNNNNNNNNNNNNNNNNNNNNNNNNNNNNNNNNNNNNNNNNNNNNNNNNNNNNNNNNNNNNNNNNNNNNNNNNNNNNNNNNNNNNNNNNNNNNNNNNNNNNNNNNNNNNNNNNNNNNNNNNNNNNNNNNNNNAUAUAGCCAUGGGCCUAUGACUCUUGGGGUAUCAUUGCUAAUUAAUAUUAUUUAUGUAUUAAUUCCGAAUUUUAUUUAAUUAUUAAAUAUGUUAAUUGUUAAGUAAUUGUUAGAUAGUUAAUUAGCAGUUAAGUUUGGUUUUGAACGGGUGUGUUGGUUGGGAUUGAUUAACUGCCAGUAUGAAACCUAUAAAUACAUCACCAAAUAUCACAUUUAAGGAUUAGACAAACACUCACGUAUUCUUCCUAUAUUUUCGGAUUCUACAUUAAUGAAGGGAACUAACUGAAUUUCAUCAAAAUCAAGAUCGUAUAUUGAUUAGAUUGUUGUAUCCUCUAGAUGGAUCCCUGUUAGAAAAAUUCCUGUUUUAGGACACUGCAACUUCACAUGCUUCACUCUCUACACAAAUUCGAGUUUGUAAUAUGUUGUAAUCUACACUCAAGUACGUUUUUCUUAUGAAUUAAUUCUUGUAUAUUACAUCUAAUUCAAUUUCGUUUUGUAUUACAUCUAUUGUUUUUGUCUAUUGUACUUCUAGCAUAACAUUAGGCUAUAUUUAUUACACGAGAAUGGACAAGUUUUCUUAGCUUUUUAUGUCAAUGGCAUAGGUCCCGAUCCUCGUCAAAUCAUACAUAUAGUCGACCUAUUAUAUUUUAACUUGUCUAACUUACAAAAUGGGGACUUAACAUAAUAUCAUAUAACAUACCGUUGAGAUUUGGUAUACAAGAUAGUAUUUAGUAUUGAGAUCUAAAAUUUAUUGAAGCACCACCGGCAAAGUUGAAACGUACCGUGGGAAAUAUACCAAUAUAGAAAUAACGAAAAAAUAUAAUGAUUAAAUACUAAAAAUAUUUAUUUUAUCGAAUAAUAAAAAAGAGCAUUAACACUCUGUUAGUGUCAAAAAUGAUACUAACAAAAAUGAUAUAUGAAAGUUAAAAGUAGAUAUAACAUUUUGUAGUAUUUUAAGUCUAAAGUUGUUGUAAAGAAUUGGCGAUGGACUCAUGGACAUUAAACUAGUAAGGACCAAAAACAAAGGAAGAUACAUGUCAAUAAAAUACAUAACGUUAAAUAAUUAAUUGACAUAAAUAGAGAUUAAAAUGAAAAUGAAUUAUUUUGACGGUUUACACAUGCACUUGCUGUUCUACUCUUAUAUCUACACAUAUCAUCCCAACUCGAGGCUUGAACCCUCACUUUUUUUACCGAUACCGAUAGACACCUAUCAGUCAAAUCUUGAUACCGGUAGCCUAAUACUAAUUUGGUUUAAAAUGAUAUUUAACUAAUAUAAUUGGUAGAUGUCGGGGGAGCUAAAAGGAGCACUCCACAUAAUGCUAGGGAAAUCAAAUAUUUAGAAAAAUGAGUUUUACAUUUCAACAUUAUGUUCACACACACACGCACAUAUGUUAAGGAUAAGUAUAUGUGGCGAAGCACGACAAAUAUAUCUAUAUAUGUGGUGAAGCACGACAAGUAUAUAUUGGUUUAAACUAAUUGGAAGUACAACUCAUUUGGAUCUACUAAUGGCGACAAUAAGCUUUACCGGCGACAUUUUGAUCAAUAACGAGGGACAGUAGCAGCGACUUGUCUCCAUUAUUACUUUUAUUGGUGACUAAGCAAACUCUUUGCGGUGCUUUUUUGUCGCCGCUAAUAAUCGUUUUUUCUUGUAGUGGAUAAAGUCCUAAAAUCAACAAAACUAUCCUAAAAAUUACAUACAUUUUAAAUUAAUAAAACUAUCUCAAAAUUAAUAUAUAGAUUUUUAACAAGGGAUAUGGGAAAAGUGUAACAACAAAUAACGACAAAGCUUUAUUUGCACUAAAGCUAUGAUGAAAUAAAACAAGUGAAGAUAAUGAUGUGUGUAAGGGUUUUUACAAAAAUAAAGGAAAUAAACAUAAGGGUAUUUAGAUAAGGGUGUUGGGUAUGGGCAACGCCCUAUGGGCGUCAGGGGCGGAUCCAAGGGGUAUCCCGGGGUAGCCUGGGAUACCCCUCAAAAAAAUUUCGGUAGUGUAAAUUUUUAGAAAAAUAAAUUGUUUUAUUUAGUGUAUAUAUACCCAUCCAUUCACUUAUAAGCACAAACAAAUAGUUAGUCUACUGGUUAAGGUGUUGGCUUGAUGAAAUAAAAGUCUCAGAUCAAUUCUUGUUCCUUACAAAUCAUUUGUUUACAUUUCUUUUAUUUUUCCAGCUAUUUUAUUCUUUUAUUUUCCUAACUAUUAUAUCCCACAUUGCCAAACACAUGUAAACUUAGUUAUUUUCAUCUAUUAUAUAAGUUUGUUAUCCUAAUGCUUUAUUUGAUAUCUACUUUAAGUCCACAUGGAUUGAAGUAUCAAAAGAUACUUCAAUUUCAUGUUUAUAUAACAGUACUUGAAGUUAGCUAAUGAUUCGAUUAAGGUUUGGGUUUAAAACCAAAACCAAACCAGGAAACCCAAGUACAAAUUGAAAACUGAAAAACCAAACCAAUGGUAUUGGGUUCGGUUUGGUUUAAAAUUUUCAAAACUGAGGCUAUUGGUUUUGGGUUCGGUUUUAGGAAAAACUAACCCAACCCGCCCAAUGCUCAGCCGAUGCGGUGAUACCCAGAAAAAAAAAUGGGAUACCCCUUUACUUUGAGUCUGGCUCCGCCACUGAUGGGUGUUAUAACACACAAAAACAGCCCUCUUUACCUUUUUUGGGUGUUAUACAUCCGCUGUUGCUUCCCGUUGCCACCAUCACCUUCGUUUAACUCUGUUUCUUUGUUUUUACCAAAAAACGCCGAUGUGGGCGUUGACCACAUCGACCAGCUUAAGGAAUUAAGGAAAGGAUUUUGGAGAAUUGAUUCUACAAGCUUACAAAAAUAUUUGGUCAAGAAAAGGAACGGUCUUCAAGGUAUGGUUUAAUGGAUAUUGAUUUCAAUAAAUAGAGAGUGAUAUACGAACCAACAAUAACUCAAAAGAAGACAAAUUGUUUAAAAAGGGGAAGAGAAGGUUGAUCACGUAGGUACUUACAAAAGUGAAGGAAAGAAACAUCAUGAUAUCAAAUGAUGGUACAUGAAUCAAAUUUCUAUUCUAAAAGGGAUGUAUGAGUUCUAAGAAGGAUUAAAGUUGAUGCAUGAAAAAAGUUUUAUUUUAUUUUAUUUUAUCUUUAUCCAGUUUUCAAGAAGGGUUAUAGGGUGUCAAUGGAAUGGUCACAUGUGGCUACUUUCGUUCUUUCGUUAAUGUUAAACAGGUGGAUAAGGAUGAUGGGUUGAAAUUAAACACUAAAAGAAGGAAGAGAAGAUAUUUGUGAAAAAGAAAAAUAUAGAAUCAAAGAAGAUAAACAAAAGAACAAAUGGAACGGUGUAUAUGAUAGGUUUUUCACCUUGUGUUGCAAAGGAGUACACAUGAAGAAAUCACAAAACAAACGUACAAUCAUUAAAGUAUUAAACAUCCAAGAUUUGAGGACAAAGGAAGAAGUAACUCAAGCCUAGAUUAAGGGGUAUGUUGAAAUGUAAUCUACAUUUUGGAUUAAUAUAUGGUAAUUUCAUAGCCGUGUUAUCGAAGUUAACUUCUGUGUAAAGAAAGCUUCAUGCACACACUAUACUUGUAAGUUCUUAUUUUGAGGAUCAACUCCAACAAACUUCACAAGUGUUUCAAUUUUCAAAAUUUAUCCUUUAUCAAAUGCCAAUAAGAGUAAAAGCUAGAGAGAAAGAGAGAAGGUUGCAAGCUGAGAUAGAAGAUUAGGAAACUAGGAGAUGCCAUUGAUUCUCUUCUAAUUUGUUUUGGAUAUGGUGUCCAGUUCUUGAUGAUAGUGAAUAUAUAGAGGAAGAGACUUUAUAUAAAGUAUAAAGGAUGACCAUGAAGUUUCGUGUAGACCUGGCAAUUUGCUACAUGACACGAUUAACACGAUACGAGUUUUUCGUGUAUGUGUUUUAGAAAUUCGUGUUUCGUGUUUAUUUGUGUCUGACACAUUUUAAAUUCAUGUUUCGUGUCUUACACGUGUCAAACACAAAUUUACAUGUUUAGACACGUAUAAGACACGAUACAAAAUCAUGUUGACAUGUGAUACGUACAAACACACACACACACACACACACAUAUAUAUAUAUAUAUUAGGGUUAAAUUUUAUAUUUACAAUAUAUUAGGGAACAAUUUCAUAAAACACAAUAAUUAGUUUAUAUCCCUAGCUUUAAAAAAAAGCCAUUAAAAACGUGACUAUUCGUGUCGUGUCACGUGUCACACGAAUUUUUUACAUGUCGUGUUCGUGUUUGAUACCCCAAACACGUUUUAUAAUUCGUGUCGUGUUUGUGUUUAACAAAUUCAUAUCGUGUAAAUUCGUGUGUGACACGAAUACACGACACGCAGACACGGAUUGCCAGGUCUAGUUUCGUGGAACCUUCCUUAUAACUUCCUUCGUCACUUCAACAAUGUGAAUGUGUUUAAUGGAAAAGUAACAAAAAAUAUAUUUAUUACAAGAAAUUAAGUGAACUGUUAUUUCUUUUUGAUGCAAUAACAUCAUUUAUUUUUAUAAACAACAAAUAGACAAAAAAAUGUUCACCUUUCCUUGCUUUUAUGUAACAUACAUUCAAAAUCAUGGAAACGAUAAUAAUUAUUUAUUAUUAUUAUUAUUUAUGUUGAAAUUUGGAGAUUGAUUAUAUAAAACUACUUAUCAAAUUAUUCAAAAAUAAAUUUUUUAUUUUUCUAUUAUAGUGAAUUUUUGGACAACAUAUUUCAUGUACAACAAUAUAUCAUGAUCAUAUGUCCAUAUGUUAACACUAAUUGUGGGAUAUCAAAAGAAUAAUAAUAAGUUUAAGAUGAUGAUUAGGCUGCAACAAUCGAAAGAAUGCAACUUAAGAAGAUGAAAACUCUGAAGAUUAAAACCAAUCGAGAUUUAGUAAUUAAAAAGUAAGGUGUUUUCUUUUUAGGAACAAAGUCAAUCAUGUGGUCUUUGGUAAAAAAAUAAAAUGAGUUUCUCUACAACAAAAGAUAAAAAGGAGUACAAGGCUUUAUUAAAAGAAGGGUAGUAUGGUCUUUUGACAAAAAAACAUGGAUGGGAAUUGUUUCUAACCUUAUUAAAUGAGGAAAUCGUACAAGAAUAUAAUAAUGAAAAGAUCACUAUUUAGCAUGUGCCAUGGUGUACUAUUUGAUUUAUGCAAAGAUGAUGAUAACGUUUUAUCUUGAAAACAAAAGCUUAAAGUGGUAUUUCCAAAUACGAAAAGCUUUUUAUCUCUCUGUUAAAUUAUUAUGAAAACCUUUGUAUAUUGUAUUAUUUACUAGAUAUUUGAUAUAUAAUCUAUAGAAUACAAAUAAAACCUAAUCGUUAGUGAUCAAUUAGUAAUUAUUCCUCUCUUCGAUUAUUGUAAAAAAUGUGUACAUCAAAAUUUAUAAUAUCGUUAGUGAUCAAUUAGUAAUUAGUAGACAUACAUACAACAAAAAGUAAAUAUAAUCGAUAUAAGAGCAAUUAGGAGAAAAGUUUUUACUUGAUUUUUUCCAAAAGAGUCAACAAGAAAUGCAAAUUUAAAGAUCUACUACUAAUAUAUAAAAUCAUGACUAAAUUAUAAUACUCUUUUCCUAAGGAUUACUCUGUAUUUAUGAAGUUACUUCAGUUUAUUAAAAAGAAAAUUUUAAAUAAAUUUACGAAGAGAGAUAUAAAUUCAAUAGAAUCCUUAAAUGAAAACCAUAAAAGGGGCUCAAUUGAAGACAUAAAUACGAACAGGAUAUAAAAAUAAACAUUUUAAGAAAGAGGAAAAGAGCUCUUGAAAUGAGGAAGUAAGAUCACGCACCUAAUUGUUGAUUAACAAGGAUAUAAGUUGAUAAUGGUGGAAUUAGCUUUGAAAGAAAGGUUGUGGACUUGUGGGGUUCAUUCAGGAAUUUCGUCGAACAGGUCAUGGACAGAUAAAUUAACAAAAAAAAAAAUACACGUUCAACCAUGAUCAUCGAACAGCCUAACCAUGAGUUGACGCAAGAAAGAAACUUGAUUAGAAAUACAAACAAGGCCGGUCGAUUUCCGGCCAAAUAUUAAUCGAUCUUACUUGUGAGUGGUGACCGGAGAGCGGAGACCCGGAUCUCCUUUUUUUCCCCAUGUGUUCUUCCUGCAACCAUGUCCACCACCCGUUUGAUCAAUUGCAAUCUGGACACAGUUAUCGAUAACACUGAUUUUUCAUAUAAAUGCUUCCACAGAGGCUGCUGAUGAGGACGUUUGGUGCAUCGGUGGCGAAGUUAAGUUGGUGGGCUUUCAGAAGAGAGAUUGUUCGCCGGCAAAGGAAGUGUAGAUGAAGAGGGAGAAAGGAAAGCAGAUGAAGAUGAAGUGCAGUGUAUCUCAGAUGAGUGGGGAUUAAAUUCCCCUUUGUAGAACCAAACACGUGAAUAGAUUCUACUUUUUAGCGUUUCUUUUUAUGUUGGAAAUGUUUUUUAAA